ACUUGAGCUAAUACCGGAUACGCCCUUACGGGGAAAGAUUAUUGCCGAAGGAACGGCCCGCGUCCGAUUAGCUUGUUGGUGAGGUAACGGCUCACCAAGGCGACGAUCGGUAGCUGGUCUGAGAGGAUGACCAGCCUCACUGGGACUGAGACACGGCCCAGACUCCUACGGGAGGCAGCAGUGGGGAAUAUUGGACAAUGGGCGCAAGCCUGAUCCAGCCAUGCCGCGUGGGUGAUGAAGGCCCUAGGGUUGUAAAGCCCUUUCGGCGGGGAAGAUAAUGACGGUACCCGCAGAAGAAGCCCCGGCUAACUUC
rnacentral:rRNA from 1 species